rnacentral:rRNA from 1 species
CUACGGGCCGCACCAGUGGGGAAUAUUGCACAAUGAGCGAAAGCUUGAUGCAGCCAUACCGCGUGUGUGAAGAAGGCCCGAGGGUUGUAAAGCACUUUCAAUUGUGAGGAAGGUUCAGUAGUUAAUACCUGCUGUUCUUGACGUUAACUUUAGAAGAAGCACCGGCUAACUCUGUGCCAGCAGCCGCGGUAAUACAGAGGGUGCAAGCGUUAUUCGGAAUUACUGGGGCGUAAAGCGCGCGUAGGCGGACUAUUAAGUCAGUUGUGAAAGCCCUGGGCUCAACCUGGGAACUGCAUCUGAUACUGGUAGUCUAGAGUUUAAGAGAGGGAAGUGGAAUUCCAGGUGUAGCAGUGAAAUGCGUAGAUAUCUGGAGGAACAUCAGUGGCGAAGGCGACUUCCUGGCUUAAAACUGACGCUGAGGUGCGAAAGCGUGGGUAGCAAACGGGAUUAGAUACCCGUGUAGUC